AUUGAACGCUGGCGGCAGGCCUAACACAUGCAAGUCGAACGGUAACAGGAAGCAGCUUGCUGCUUCGCUGACGAGUGGCGGACGGGUGAGUAAUGUCUGGGAAGCUGCCUGAUGGAGGGGGAUAACUACUGGAAACGGUAGCUAAUACCGCAUAAUGUCGCAAGACCAAAGAGGGGGACCUUCGGGCCUCUUGCCAUCGGAUGUGCCCAGAUGGGAUUAGCUUGUUGGUGGGGUAACGGCUCACCAAGGCGACGAUCCCUAGCUGGUCUGAGAGGAUGACCAGCCACACUGGAACUGAGACACGGUCCAGACUCCUACGGGAGGCAGCAGUGGGGAAUAUUGCACAAUGGGCGCAAGCCUGAUGCAGCCAUGCCGCGUGUAUGAAGAAGGCCUUCGGGUUGUAAAGUACUUUCAGCGGGGAGGAAGGGAGUAAAGUUAAUACCUUUGCUCAUUGACGUUACCCGCAGAAGAAGCACCGGCUAACUCCGUGCCAGCAGCCGCGGUAAUACGGAGGGUGCAAGCGUUAAUCGGAAUUACUGGGCGUAAAGCGCACGCAGGCGGUUUGUUAAGUCAGAUGUGAAAUCCCCGGGCUCAACCUGGGAACUGCAUCUGAUACUGGCAAGCUUGAGUCUCGUAGAGGGGGGUAGAAUUCCAGGUGUAGCGGCGAAAUGCGUAGAGAUCUGGAGGAAUACCGGUGGCGAAGGCGGCCCCCUGGACGAAGACUGACGCUCAGGUGCGAAAGCGUGGGGAGC
rnacentral:rRNA from 1 species